AGAAAUUUCUUUUCCAUUCCUUUGGGCUUUGAGCCCUCCAGGACACGUCAGCAGGGUCUUCGAUAACAAAGGUUUGCGAUCUGGGCUUCUCUUAUCUGUAUCCAAGCAGGUUAUCUUAAAACCUCCUUUACUAUAUAAACUACUAAUAGGUUACUAAAGAAUAAAUGUAGCUUAGACCUUUAUCCCAUGAGAAUCCUAACUUCUUAUUCUCUUUCCACCAGACAUGGCAUUACAUUAUUGGCAACAGUAAAUGAUAGAUUGUUAGAUUGGGAAGGGAACUUAGCUGAGAUAUUGAUGCAGGCAGGCUGGGUCCAAGGAUCCAUCGUGGCGGGGAGGGGGGGGUCCUGCAGGACCAGGCAAGAGGCUACAGGGUAGAAGUCAAAUGCAAGCUAGGAAGAAGAGAAAACAGAGUUUACUGAAUAGCACGAGUGACAGAGAAUAACAGAUGAGUGCCUGGGAGACUCAGAAAGGAAAGGAGAGUUAGUCUCAUUGUAGCUUGGGGUUAGCGGUUUAUAUUGGAAAGGGGUCCUGUAUACGUGUUCCUUCAGGAAUCCAGGGUCGGUCCCAUCAAAGCUAUGUAUUAAGGUUUGAUGAGGGGCAACUAAUGGAGAAGCAGACACAGGAGUCAGACAGCUGGGGAUCCAAAUCGGCUUCAUUACGGGAAGAGCUGAGUGGGAGAAGAUGGUUUGGAUCUCAGCCAGAUGAACUUCCCAAUACAUCCUCCUCGAGCUGAAUUUGCGAAGCUGGACCCUGACACAGCCAGGCAUCUCCGGGUCUCCCUUGCGGGGACGGGCUUGCUGAGAGCGAGUCUGGAGGACGGGCCACUCCCAAAGAGGGAACACCCAGAGCCUGUUCUGCAUGUCUUAUCAAGCAGUUAAACCACUUUUUUGCUUGGGGAAGAGGUUGGGGGGUGAGGGGGGAACAAACGGUCUAUUCUUCCGGGGAGGAGAAUUUCCCUCCCUUCAGUGGAAAGAAAGGGGAGAAGAAUUGAAGAAGCUUCCUUGCCAGCACCAUCCAAGAUGAUAACAAGGUUUGUUUCAAUAUUCUAGUGAAAGAGAAAACUGGAGAACUUCACUUAACUAAUUGACGAAAUAUACAAAUGGGUAGAUUUUAUCAAGUCAGUAAACCUAGAAAAUGCGUUUCAAUAUAAGCCAUAUAGGAAGGUGUGCGAGAGCAAAACAUAGUAGGUACUUGUACUGGAAAACCUACUUUCAUGCUUAUAUUCUACUUACUUUUUGACUCGCUUCCUAGAAUUACCUUCCAUCCAUAAUCCCCGGGUUACUGUGGAACUAGUCGUUUUACACGUCAUGCUGCUCUCUGAUCACAGUGGAGUCAGUGAGGACACAUCUAAUGCCACCUUGGGAACAUUUCUCUCUUCUGAGAUAUUCUAGGAGUUGGGACCUAGUAAGAGCCUGAGGUCGGAGCUGCAACACGUAAAACUCAGCAGCUACUGUUUUUCGGCUGCGUGGACUGGGGAGAUGGUCCGGGCUCAAAGGAAGAGUGAGACUAACGUGUGGACGGAAACAGAAGAAGGGAAAAUUGGAAGAGCGAGCAGAGGAGGGGCAGAGAGAGAGCGAGACAGAGGAUCUGAAGCAGGCU